AAUAUAGGGGAUUUUGAGUUUUUGCUUGUAACGUUUGACUACUCGUCUUAUUUAAUUUUUUAAAAAAAUAUUAUUUAUUUUAUUUGUGACUUACUUUAUUAUCCACAGUACUUUAAGCGCAACUUUUCAUUUUUGAUAUUUGCAAAAAAAUUUUGAAUAAGACGAGUGGUCAAACGUUGCAAGCAAAAACUCAAAAGCCCUCAUAUU
rfam:Oryza sativa Japonica Group DNA, chromosome 12, cultivar: Nipponbare, complete sequence.